GAUGAACGCUAGCGAUAGGCUUAACACAUGCAAGUCGAGGGGCAGCACAUGAGUGGCAACACGAUGGUGGCGACCGGCGCACGGGUGAGUAACACGUAUGCAACCUGCCCAUAACUGGGGGAUAACCCGUCGAAAGGCGGACUAAUACCGCAUGACAACGAUGAUCCGCAUGGUGAUUCGUUUAAAGAUUUAUCGGCUAUGGAUGGGCAUGCGUUCCAUUAGGUAGUUGGCAGGGUAACGGCCUACCAAGCCUACGAUGGAUAGGGGUUCUGGGAGGAAGGUCCCACACACUGGUACGGGGACACGGACCAGACUCCUACGGGAGGCAGCAGUGAGGAAUAUUGGUCAAUGGGCGAGAGCCUGAACCAGCCAAAUCGCGUGAAGGAUGAAGGUAUUAUGUAUUGUAAACUUCUUUUGUCGGGGAAUAAAGUGCAGCACGUGUGCUGUUUUGUAUGUACCCGAAGAAUAAGGAUCGGCUAACUCCGUGCCAGCCGCCGCCGUAAGAC
rnacentral:rRNA from 1 species